rnacentral:rRNA from 1 species
UACGUAGAGGGCUAGCGUUGUCCGGAAUCAUUGGGCGUAAAGCGCGUGUAGGCGGUCCGGUAAGUCCGCUGUGAAAGUCGGGGGCUCAACCCUCGAAUGCCGGUGGAUACUGUCGGGCUAGAGUGCGGAAGAGGCGAGUGGAAUUCCUGGUGUAGCGGUGAAAUGCGCAGAUAUCAGGAGGAACACCAAUUGCGAAGGCAGCUCGCUGGGACGUAACUGACGCUGAGACGCGAAAGCGUGGGGAGCAAACAGG